UCAACUUCUAGGGAUAUGAAAAACAAAAUAAAAAUCAUCCCUAUUCAGCCUAAUUUGGUUGAUGAUUCCAAGCCAAGAGAUUCUACCUCGAAGUUUGAUACACCUAGUAGAAUAUUCGCUGCCCUUUUUUAUGGAUUAGUAUCUAUUGCAAUUAUGCUAUUAAACAAGCAUAUUUUAACCCUUCAGCACUUUCCAUCUCCUCAUGUCCUUGGUCUUGGUCAAAUGUUUGCCACAAUAUUUGAUAUAUUGGAGAAAAUGUUUCCGUUACCGUUAUUCUAUUUGGCUAAUAUGUUGUUUGGGCUUGUUGUUACUCAAGAACUUUCGUUACCAAUGAUAACUGUUCUUAGACGUUUUAGCAUUCUUUUUACUAUGAUACUAACGUCAUUGGCUGUCUAAAAAAUAUAAUUGUUACGUAUAUUGGAAUGAUAUUCGGAGGCGACUACAUCUUUUCUUGGAUUAAUUUUGUUGGAGUCAAUAUAAGUAUACUUGGUAGUUUAAUCUACUCAUACAUCAGCUUUUUCAAUAUAAAGAAGAAUAUUUUCAUCAAAAAAAGUGAA
rnacentral:misc_RNA from 1 species